rnacentral:rRNA from 1 species
AACGAACGCUGGCGGCAGGCCUAACACAUGCAAGUCGAGCGAGCAUUUCGGUGCUAGCGGCGGACGGGUGAGUAACGCGUGGGAACGUGCCCUUUUCUGCGGAAUAGUCCUGGGAAACUGGGGGUAAUACCGCAUACGCCCUUUUGGGGAAAGAUUUAUCGGAGAAGGAUCGGCCCGCGUUGGAUUAGGUAGUUGGUGGGGUAAUGGCCCACCAAGCCGACGAUCCAUAGCUGGUUUGAGAGGAUGAUCAGCCACACUGGGACUGAGACACGGCCCAGACUCCUACGGGAGGCAGCAGUGGGGAAUCUUAGACAAUGGGGGCAACCCUGAUCUAUCCAUGCCGCGUGAGUGAUGAAGGCCUUAGGGUUGUAAAGCUCUUUCAGCUGGGAAGAUAAGGACGGUACCAGCAGAAGAAGCCCCGGCUAACUCCGUG